UUGCAGUUUGAUAAACGUCGCUGGGUA
rnacentral:piRNA from 1 species